AUGUCCCGCAGCCAGGCAGGUUGUGCUAGACUCGUAUUUGCAAGUAACUGCGCAACGCCCAGCCAGAAUGACCGAACUGCGCAUGCUCGCCUUUAGGAUAUAAGAGCAUCGCACCGGGAUGUACUUGGCUUCUUUGUUCGCAUGACCCGCACGCUUACUGCAUCAUGUCUCGGAUGCGGACUUACCGCAAGACUCGCACUGUCUGGCGCCAGUUCACAAGAAGACUCGAGCGGCAGCUGGCCUCAUCCGAGCGUGCAGGGAGGUGCAUGCCCACCACUGCAGGCAGGAAGACGUAUGCUGGCUCCUUUCUAGACAUGGCAACCGUGCUCGUGCGGUUCAGCUGGGUUGCAGUGGCACUGCCAUUUCGCAUCCUUUUAAACGGGAUGCGCAUUGUCGCAGCCAUGCUGUCGUCUCUGAAGACCGCACUUUUCCCAUGAGUACAACCUGCAAUCCAGGCAGCCGACAUUCAUAGGUCUCGCCUGCCAGCAACCAUGAAAAUGACAAUAUGGAGCCUGUUUUAAAAUUCACCGAUCAUCCCAGUUUUAACCUCGCACUGCAUUGGCAUCAUGUCACGCAUUCCAACAGUCUUGUAGACCAUAUGAAUCAAUAAACAUCAUUUCAUGGGAAUCUAA